rnacentral:tRNA from 1 species
UGCGCCCGUAGCUCAGCCUGGAUAGAGCAGUGGGGUCCUAACCCAAAGGUCGUAGGUUCAAAUCCUAUCGGGCGCGU